CCCUUAGAUGUCCGGGGCUACACGCGCGCUACACUGACUGGCUCAGCGUGUGCCUACCCUACGCCGGCAGGCGCGGGUAACCCGUUGAACCCCAUUCGUGAUGGGGAUCGGGGAUUGCAAUUAUUCCCCAUGAACGAGGAAUUCCCAGUAAGUGCGGGUCAUAAGCUUGCGUUGAUUAAGUCCCUGCCCUUUGUACACACCGCCCGUCGCUACUACCGAUUGGAUGGUUUAGUGAGGCCCUCGGAUCGGCCCCGCCGGGGUCGGCCCACGGCCCUGGCGGAGCGCUGAGAAGACGGUCGAACUUGACUAUCUAGAGGAAGUAAAAGUCGUAACA
rnacentral:rRNA from 1 species